rnacentral:rRNA from 1 species
GACGACGCUGGCGGCGUGCUUAACACAUGCAAGUCGAACGAGUGGCGGACGGGUGAGUAAUGCCUAGGAAUCUGCCUGGUAGUGGGGGAUAACGUCCGGAAACGGGCGCUAAUACCGCAUCCAUCGGAUGUGCCCAGAUGGGAUUAGCUAGUAGGUGGGGUAAAGGCUCACCUAGGAGACGAUCCCUAGCUGGUCUGAGAGGAUGACCAGCCACACUGGAACUGAGACACGGUCCAGACUCCUACGGGAGGCAGCAGUGGGGAAUAUUGCACAAUGGGCGCAAGCCUGAUGCAGCCAUGCCGCGUGUAUGAAGAAGGCCUUCGGGUUGUAAAGUACUUUCAGCGGGGAGGCGUUACCCGCAGAAGAAGCACCGGCUAACUCCGUGCCAGCCGCCGCGGUAAUAC